UGAGGAAUAUUGGUCAAUGGGCGCGAGCCUGAACCAGCCAAGUAGCGCGAAGGAUGAAGGUCCUAUGGAUUGUAAACUUCUUUUAUAGCAGAAUAAAGUGACCCACGUGUGGGUUUUUGUAAGUAUGCUAUGAAUAAGGAUCGGCUAACUCCGUGCCAGCAGCCGCGGUAAUACGGAGGAUCCGAGCGUUAUCCGGAUUUAUUGGGUUUAAAGGGUGCGUAGGCGGAAAGAUAAGUCAGCCUGUGAAAGUUUGCGGCUCAACCGUAAAAUGGCAGUUGAUACUGUUUUUCUUGAGUGUACAUAAGGUAGGCGGAAUUAGUGGUGUAGCGGUGAAAUGCUGAUAUAUCACGAAGAACUCCGAUUGCGAAGGCAGCUUACCGGGGUACAACUGACGCUGAUGCACGAAAGUGUGGGUAUCAAACA
rnacentral:rRNA from 1 species